rnacentral:rRNA from 1 species
UACGUAGGUGGCAAGCGUUGUCCGGAUUUAUUGGGUUUAAAGGGUGCGUAGGCGGUUCUAUAAGUCAGUGGUGAAAUCCGGCAGCUCAACUGUCGAUGUGCCAUUGAUACUGCAGAACUUGAGUACAGACGAGGUAGGCGGAAUUGACGGUGUAGCGGUGAAAUGCUUAGAUAUCUGGAGGAACACCGGUGGCGAAGGCGGCAUCCUGGACCAACACUGACACUGAGGAGCGAAAGCCAGGGGAGCAAACGGG